GUGGCUAUAGCUCAGUUGGUUAGAGCGCUUGAUUGUGGUUCAAGAGGUCGUCGGUUCGAUUCCGAUUAGCCACCCCA
rnacentral:tRNA from 1 species